UCAAGCGUCUUAAGGGCGUUCGGUGGAUGCCUUGGCACUGAGAGGCGAUGAAGGACGUGGUACGCUGCGUUAAGCCGUGGGGAGCUGCGAACAAGCUUUGAUCCGCGGAUUUCCGAAUGGGGGAACCCACUUCCGACAUCCAGAAUUCACAAGCCGUGCUGCAAGGCGCGGUUUGCGGCUUCUGGGUGUCAAUGGAGGUAUUAAAUCCUGAAUACAUAGGGGUUUAAAGCGAACCCGGGGAACUGAAACAUCUAAGUACCCGGAGGAAAGGACAUCAACAGAGACUCCGUUAGUAGUGGCGAGCGAAAGCGGAACAGGCCAGCACUUCGACAACAAGAACCGGAACCGUCUGGAAAGUCGGGCCAUAGUGGGUGACAGCCCCGUACGGGUAGAAAUGGUCGAAGUCUCGAGUAGGGCGGGGCACGUGAAACCCUGUCUGAACGUGGGGGGACCACCCUCCAAGCCUAAGUACUCCUCAGUGACCGAUAGCGAACAAGUACCGUGAGGGAAAGGUGAAAAGCACCCCGACGAGGGGAGUGAAAUAGUACCUGAAACCGGACGCUUACAAACAGUCGGAGCCCGCAAGGGUGACGGCGUACCUUUUGUAUAAUGGGUCAGCGAGUUAGUGUAACGUGCAAGCUUAAGCCGAUAGGCGUAGGCGCAGCGAAAGCGAGUCUGAACAGGGCGUUCAGUUCGUUGCAUUAGACCCGAAACCUAGUGAUCUAGCCAUGAGCAGGUUGAAGGUGAGGUAACACUCACUGGAGGACCGAACCGGUGCCUGUUGCAAAAGUCUCGGAUGACUUGUGGUUAGGGGUGAAAGGCCAAUCAAACUAGGAAAUAGCUGGUUCUCCGCGAAAUCUAUUUAGGUAGAGCGUCGCGUGAAUACUCCAGGGGGUAGAGCACUGGAAGGGCUAGGGGGUCCCACAGACCUACCAAACCCUACCAAACUCCGAAUACCUGGAAGUAAUGCGCGGCAGACACACAGUGGGUGCUAACGUCCAUUGUGAAAAGGGAAACAACCCUGACCGACAGCUAAGGUCCCCAAAUUAUGGCUAAGUGUGAAAGGAUGUGAGGAUCCUAAAACAACCAGGAGGUUGGCUUAGAAGCAGCCAUCCUUUAAAGAAAGCGUAACAGCUCACUGGUCUAGGGUCCUCGCGCCGAAAAUGUAUCGGGGCUAAAGCCAUAUACCGAAGCUUCGGGCUCGAAAGAGCGGUAGCGGAGCGUUCUCUAAGCUGAUGAAGGCAGACCCGUGAGGGCUGCUGGAGGUAUGAGAAGUGCGAAUGCUGACAUGAGUAACGACAAACAGUGUGAAAGACACUGUCGCCGAAAGUCCAAGGGUUCCUGCGUAAAGUUAAUCUGCGCAGGGUUAGCCGGCUCCUAAGGCGAGGCCGAAAGGCGUAGUCGAUGGGAACCACGUUAAUAUUCGUGGGCCAGCGGGUGGUGACGAAUUCCAAAAGUUGUCUGAUCUUACUGGAUUGAUCGGGCAGCGCGGGAGUUCCAGGAAAUAGCCCCCGCAUUAGACCGUACCCGAAACCGACACAGGUGGACUGGCAGAGUAUGCUAAGGCGCUUGAGUGAACCAUGCUGAAGGAACUCGGCAAAAUACCUCCGUAACUUCGGGAUAAGGAGGCCUCUUGAGCGGGCAACCGUUUGAGAGGGGCACAGACCAGGGGGUGGCGACUGUUUAGCAAAAACACAGGGCUCUGCGAAAUCGCAAGAUGACGUAUAGGGUCUGACGCCUGCCCGGUGCCGGAAGGUUAAGAGGAGAGGUGCAAGCUUUGAAUCGAAGCCCCGGUAAACGGCGGCCGUAACUAUAACGGUCCUAAGGUAGCGAAAUUCCUUGUCGGGUAAGUUCCGACCUGCACGAAUGGCGUAACGAUCUCCCCGCUGUCUCCAGCAUGGUCUCAGUGAAAUUGAAUUCCCCGUGAAGAUGCGGGGUUCCCGCGGUUAGACGGAAAGACCCCGUGCACCUUUACUAUAGCUUUGCACUGGCAUUAGUGUCCACAUGUGUAGGAUAGGUGGUAGGCUUUGAAGCUCGGGCGCCAGCUCGGGUGGAGCCACCCUUGAAAUACCACCCUUGUAGUCACUGAUGUCUAACCGCCGCCCGUUAUCCGGGCGCGAGACAGUGCAUGGUGGGUAGUUUGACUGGGGCGGUCGCCUCCCAAAGAGUAACGGAGGCGUGCGAAGGUAAGCUCAGGCUGGUCGGAAAUCAGCUGUCGAGUGCAAUGGUAUAAGCUUGCCUGACUGCGAGACAAACAAGUCGAGCAGAGACGAAAGUCGGCCAUAGUGAUCCGGUGGUUCCACGUGGACGGGCCAUCGCUCAACGGAUAAAAGGUACGCCGGGGAUAACAGGCUGAUGACUCCCAAGAGUCCAUAUCGACGGAGUCGUUUGGCACCUCGAUGUCGGCUCAUCACAUCCUGGGGCUGGAGCAGGUCCCAAGGGUUCGGCUGUUCGCCGAUUAAAGUGGUACGUGAGCUGGGUUCAAAACGUCGUGAGACAGUUUGGUCCCUAUCUGCCGUGGGUGUAGGAGAAUUGAGAGGAUCUGUCCUUAGUACGAGAGGACCGGGAUGGAGCCACCUCUGGUGGACCUGUUGUGGCGCCAGCCGCAGUGCAGGGUAGCUACGUGGCGAAUAGAUAACCGCUGAAGGCAUCUAAGCGGGAAACUAACCUCAAAACGAGUUCUCCCUCGAGAGCCGUGGUAGACCACCACGUUGAUAGGCCGGAUGUGUAAACGCAGCGAUGCGUGCGCUGACCGGUACUAAUCGCUCGAUUGGCUUGAUCAU
rnacentral:rRNA from 4 species